UCCGUCGUCGAGAGGGCAACAACCCAGACCACCAGCUAAGGUCCCUAAUAUCAGUUAAGUGGGAAACGAUGUGGGAAGGCUUAGACAGCUAGGAGGUUGGCUUAGAAGCAGCCAUCCUUUAAAGAAAGCGUAAUAGCUCACUAGUCGAGUCGGCCUGCGCGGAAGAUAUAACGGGGCUAAACUGAUAACCGAAGCUGUGGAUGCGUGUUUACACGCAUGGUAGAGGAGCGUUCUGUAAGCGGUUGAAGCUGAAUCGUAAGGUUUGGUGGACGUAUCAGAAGUGCGAAUGCUGACAUGAGUAACGAUAAGGGGGGUGAAAAACCUCCCCGCCGAAAGAUCAAGGUUUCCUGUCCAACGUUAAUCGGGACAGGGUGAGUCGGCCCCUAAGGCGAGGGCGAAAGCCGUAGUCGAUGGAAAAUCGGUUAAAAUUCCGAUACCGGUUCUUACUGCGAUGGAGUGACGGAGAAGGCUAGGCUAGCACGGCGUUGGUUGUCCGUGUUUAAGCGUGUAGGUAGGGGAAUUAGGUAAAUCCGGUUCCUCGUUAAUCUGAGACGUGAUGACGAUUUCUUGGGGUAACCCUUGAAAGAAGUAGUUGAUGCCAUACUUCCAGGAAAAACUUCUAAGCUUCAGGUAAGAAACGACCGUACUGUAAACCGACACAGGUGAUCAGGUAGAGAAUACCAAGGCGCUUGAGAGAACUUGGGUGAAGGAACUAGGCAAAAUGGUACCGUAACUUCGGGAGAAGGUACGCUUCUUUUGGUGAUCGGACUUGCUCCGUAAGCUGAGGGAAGUCGAAGUGACCAGGUGGCUGCAACUGUUUAUUAAAAACAUAGCACUCUGCAAACUCGUGAGAGGAAGUAUAGGGUGUGACGCCUGCCCGGUGCCGGAAGGUUAAUUGAUGGGGUUAUCUUCGGAGAAGCUCUUGAUCGAAGCCCCGGUAAACGGCGGCCGUAACUAUAACGGUCCUAAGGUAGCGAAAUUCCUUGUCGGGUAAGUUCCGACCUGCACGAAUGGCGUAAUGAUGGCCACGCUGUCUCCACCCAAGACUCAGUGAAAUUGAAAUCGCUGUUAAGAUGCAGUGUACCCGCGGCUAGACGGAAAGACCCCGUGAACCUUUACUAUAGCUUCACACUGGACUUUGACUUUAUUUGUGUAGGAUAGGUGGGAGACUUUGAAGCGUGAUCGCUAGAUUGCGUGGAGUCGUCCUUGAAAUACCACCCUGGUAACGUUGAGGUUCUAACUUAGCUCCUGAAACGGGAGUGAGGACAGUGUGUGGUGGGUAGUUUGACUGGGGCGGUCUCCUCCUAAAGAGUAACGGAGGAGCACGAAGGUACCCUAAGAGCGGUCGGAAAUCGCUCGUUUAGUGUAAUGGCAUAAGGGUGCUUGACUGCGAGAGUGACAACUCGAGCAGGUGCGAAAGCAGGUCAUAGUGAUCCGGUGGUUCUGUAUGGAAGGGCCAUCGCUCAACGGAUAAAAGGUACUCCGGGGAUAACAGGCUGAUACCGCCCAAGAGUUCACAUCGACGGCGGUGUUUGGCACCUCGAUGUCGGCUCAUCACAUCCUGGGGCUGAAGCCGGUCCCAAGGGUAUGGCUGUUCGCCAUUUAAAGUGGUACGCGAGCUGGGUUUAGAACGUCGUGAGACAGUUCGGUCCCUAUCUGCCGUGGGCGCAGGAGAUUUGAGAAGAGUUGCUCCUAGUACGAGAGGACCGGAGUGAACGAACCUCUGGUGUUCGGGUUGUGUCGCCAGACGCAUUGCCCGGUAGCUAUGUUCGGACAGGAUAACCGCUGAAAGCAUCUAAGCGGGAAGCCCCCUUCAAGACGAGAUCUCCCUGAGGACUUGAUCCUCCUAAAGUGCCGUUGAAGACUACGACGUUGAUAGGCUGGGUGUGUAAG
rnacentral:rRNA from 1 species